UGCGCACCACCUGUCCACCCCCCUACUGCGGUAAGCUAAAUAACUCCAUCAUCUUCCGCCGACCGCCGGCCACCUCCGGCCUGCCUACGCGAGCUCCUCCUGGGGGCGCCACCCCCCUCACCUCGAUGCGGGAACACUGCUGUCGGAGGAGGAGGAGAUGGAGUUCCUGUACAAUUGUGCCGCCACCGCCACCGCCGUCGUCGCGGACGUGGUGGCCGCGCUCGCGGGCACCGCCGAUAUCCAAGCGUCUUCUCCCUCUGCCUUCACGUCUGAGGAGGUACCGGAGAGGCCAGCUGAAGAGGGCUCUGUGAGAGGCUGAAGCCUACGCCUUCAAGGGAGUUCUAGUGAUGCAUUAUAUAGGGAGCUAUGGCAUGCUUGCGCUGGGCCGUUGGUGCUUCGCCAAGGUGAAAGAGUUUACUACUUCCACAUGGACAUAUGGAACAGGAAACCACGCAGACCAGAGGAGAGGAAAUGCAGACGCGAUGUGUACCUUCGCAAUGAACAACUUGAAACUGAAGUCGCGAGGCAGGAACCACGGCCGUGCGGCAGGUGGAGGGGACCUGCUGCUAGGGCCGAAGCUAGGGAAGACUGAGGGGAGUCGAUUAGGAUGGAGCGCAACAGGGUAGGAAGCUAUCCAGAGUCAGCUGCAAGCAAGCCACCUUGGACCACGGGGAGGCCACCACCGUGUAUCCGCCUUGGAGGCCAGGGACGGAGCCGGAGCCGACGAAGAUCCAUGAGGAGAGGAUGACAUGCGGCUCUCCCAAUCCAUGAUGUAGCCUGCACGCACCUCCCGGCCGGCGAGCCGGAGCGGUGACCUAGCGCGCCCUGGGAUCUCGGGUGGAGGUUGGAGGGCAGCAUCAAGAGGAGAGAUGGAGACCCAAAAGUACACAUGAGAGAAGAACACAACAAGGAGCUACUUAUAGGCAAGCAAAGAAGGACCCAGAACACAAACGUGUGCAAACCUGGAACGACAAACAUGCAUGCAUCAGCCAUGCAGCAGCACACGUGUACCAGCCCAUACAACAUGCCAUGCAAGCAAAGAAGAACCCAGAACACAAACGUGUGCAAACCUGAAACUACAAACAUACAAAGGUGGACACAUGCAUGCAUGCAUCAGCCAUGCAACAGCACACGUAUACCAGCCCAUACAACAGGCCAUGCAACUAAUAUUUUCUUUUCACAUGAGACAAAAUCAGCCCAUGCAGUCAAACCAUCUUUUCACAUGAGACAAGAUAAGCCCAUGCACCUCUAAAAGAAAUAGGUACAGUCCAAAAGAGAAGAGAUCAACCACUUCACGAAAGCCACCGUGCAUACGUGUCGCUCAAUUGGCAGGGCUAAAAAAAAUUCUGAGAAAACCAGAAAAAUCAAACCCUUACGGGCCUAGUCUUCUUAGUAUAUACACUUGCAGUGGAAAGUUAGAAAUCGUCAUGCUAGAAACGGAAAGCUCUUGGAUGAAAGUAGGAGUAGGUCAAUUCGAAUGCAUGAGCCACCAAAGAGUAGUACUACUACUCUCUUUUUUUUUGCGAAAAAUAGUAGUACUACUACUAGUAAAGUAGUACCCCUUCAAAAAACUGAAACGAGCGAACCAAGUUAUGAUUGAAUGGCUAGAGUGAUUGUAGUAUCCCCAGUUUAUUUGGGUUCAAGUUCUGAUGCUCACAUUUAUUUUUGGAUUUAUUUCAAAAUUUUCGGUGAUGCGCAUUCAGUGGGAGGAAACGUUCCCGUCGACGACGAGAUGACUACGCUGACUUUGUAAAUUUCAAGAUGAUAUGUCGGCUCAGUCUUUCAAAGAUGCUCAUAUGACAAGGUAUGCGUGUGUGCGUUCAUAAAGAUAAGUGUAUGCGUGUGCAUAUGAGCGUUUGUGGAUAACAGGAAAAAAAAAGCUGAAACGAUAAUCACGUGAACCUGCUAUCAAACAAAGGAGCGAAAACAAGGAGCGCUGCUAUCUCGCUCGCGAAGGAGCGUUUCCGGAAAACAAGAUAAAAAAGAUUCCGUGACAGAGGGAAAAAGACACCCCGUAAGCCUGAGAAAUGGGAAGCUCCGACCUUGUUGGAUCUACCGCGGCUCGCGAGGCCCACGGCGAUGAUUGGUCGCCAAUUAGCCUCCGCGUAAGUGCAUUGCUCUCUGACAAGCAUAGUUUCGUUUGCAGGCCGGCAAACGGCGCGGUCGAAACGAACAAGCGCAGGCAGGGUCGCUGCCUCACAGCCUACACGCCUGUUUCUGGCCUUUGCUCAAACAGUAACUAAACUCCGAGGAGAGAAGUGGCCAAGCCACUUGCUGAAGACUGGCAAACAGUACCACCUUGUGCUGGUGGGCAUGUGCAACUGCAUGCUUUGUUUGCGGGACUGGCCCCCACCUAAUCCGCAACGCCCACAUGAAUCAAUGAUCAACCAAUGGUUGCCACAAUUCCACCGGGGCUGAUCAAGCCCAAAUUGCCACGUCGAUGUGAUAUUUUCUAGUGCCAAAGUUGAUGUGAUCUGACCUGACCUAUAAGCUUCCGUCUAACUUUUUCCUCUGUGCCAUGAUGGUGGCAGAUGUCCUUUAGGGCAUGUACAAUGGUGGCAUAUGGAUACAUAUGCCCCAUAACAAAAAAUAAUUUAAGGCAUCUACAUUUAUUUUUUUUCCAA